rnacentral:lncRNA from 1 species
UUAAAGAUUAUAUGCAUCUAAUAUACAUAUAAUAGAUUUAAAGGAAUUGUUAAUUUGAUCCACCAUCCAUUUGCUGAAUUGACCGAUCCAUGAUUAUAAUUCUUGAUUGAAUUCAAGAAUUUGUGAAUAAAGGAUGAAUGAUGUAUAAUAAAGGGUGGGUUGAUUGAGAAAAUAUUUGGGUUAAAUUGAUAAUUUCUAUAUACAUAUUGUAAUUGUCGUUUUACUUAUUCUACAAAUUUCUUUCAGAAUAAAUAUGUAUAGGGGAAUUCGAACUCAAGGAAAGACUAAGCACAUGAGCUUUACUUGUUAGGGUCACAUGAUUAACUAUAUUUCAAACCACUAAAAUACCAAGAAACACUACAAUGCUUCCUUCCAGGAACAAUACUCCUUCAUCAACUGAUAACCACAAUAUGCAACCCUGCACUCUCAAAAGACUGCUCAAAACACAAUAAUUUCCAUCCAAUACCAGGAAAACAAACUUCACUCCAAUCAAUCUAGAUCCACACAAUUUGUGUAAUCACAGACUUACUCUGUCCAAAACACACACAACUCUCGAUAAACAACAAUCAUAAUCUUCCAAUCAUAAUCAAUCUUCUAAUAACUUCUCAUAUAAUUCAAUCACAUAAUACUCCAAUUACAUAAUCAAUAAUUCAUAAAUCAAUCUCUGAUAUAUUCCACAGACUCACUUCUCAAUAUUCAAAAACUAUCCAUUACUCUUCAACAAUAAAGAAAACAAAGAAAACAAAGAGGUAGCACCAAGCUUAAUUCUGGCUCAUGGCUAUCACAGUUUGGCCCUUGGCUUAUGACUCUCAUAGUUUGGCCCCUCAAACUAACUUCUACAACUCCUAUAUAAUUGCUACUGAUUUCCAGAUUCUAAUUGUAAUCCUAUAAUAACCGCUUUUAAUAAAUGAUUUAACCAUCCGUCCUCCUGAAUUGACUAUUCUAUGGACUAUUAGUCUAUUUUAUGAAUAU